AAAGGUUUGGUCCUAGCCUUUCUGUUAAUUUUCCUUAAACCUACACAUGCAAGUUUCCGCUGUCCAGUGAGAAUGCCCUUAAUAUUAGCAAUAAUAACUAGGAGCAGGCAUCAGGCUCACCACGAGUAGCCCAUUACGCCUUGCUUAACCACACCCCCACGGGAUACAGCAGUGACUAAAAUUAAGCAAUAAACGAAAGUUUGACUAAGUUAUAAUUAACUAGGGUUGGUAAAUUUCGUGCCAGCCACCGCGGCCAUACGAUUAACCCAAAUAAACAGAAAAACGGCGUAAAGUGUGUUUAAGUGCCCAUACUAAUAAAGCUAACAUAUAACUAAACUGUAAUACGCUCUAGUUUCAAUUGAAAUCAAUUACUAAAGUAGCUUUAAUCCUACUGAGUACACGACAGCUGAGAAACAAACUGGGAUUAGAUACCCCACUAUGCUCAGCCCUAAACUUUGAUAAUCAGAUAACAAGAUUAUUCGCCAGAGAACUACUAGCAAACGCUUAAAACUCAAAGGACUUGGCGGUGCCCUAAACCCACCUAGAGGAGCCUGUUCUAUAAUCGAUAAACCCCGAUAGACCUUACCCCUUUUUGCCAGUACAGCCUAUAUACCGCCAUCGUCAGCUCACCUCAUUAGAGAAUUAAAGUAAGCAAAAAUAUUUAUCAUAAAAACGUUAGGUCAAGGUGUAGCAUAUAAAGAGGAAAGCAAUGGGCUACAUUUUCUAGCAUAGAACAUAAACGAAAUAUCUCUUGAAACCUGAAAUAUGCGAAGGAGGAUUUAGUAGUAAAUUAAGAAUAGAGAGCUUAAUUGAAUUAGGCAAUAGGGCGCGCACACACCGCCCGUCACCCUCCUCGACAAAAACAACAAAAAUAAAUAAUACAACUAACAGCCCAAAGAGGAGAAAAGUCGUAACACGGUAAGUGUACUGGAAAGUGCGCUUGGAAUA
rnacentral:ncRNA from 1 species